UACGUAGGUGGCAAGCGUUGUCCGGAAUUACUGGGUGUAAAGGGAGCGUAGGCGGGAAGUUAAGUUGGAUGUGUAAUACCGGGGCUCAACCCCGGGGCUGCAUCCAAAACUGAUUUUCUUGAGUGAAGUAGAGGCAAGUGGAAUUCCUAGUGUAGCGGUGAAAUGCGUAGAUAUUAGGAGGAACACCAGUGGCGAAGGCGACUUGCUGGGCUUUAACUGACGCUGAGGCUCGAAAGCGUGGGGAGCAAAC
rnacentral:rRNA from 1 species